rnacentral:rRNA from 1 species
CGAACGGAAGUCGUUGUAAAGAAGCAGACAUGAACAAAGAACUUGUUCAAAGUGAGUAAAAGUAGGCUUACAACAAUGGCUUUAGUGGCGGACUGGUGAGUAACGCGUAAGGAACCUGCCUUUUAGAGGGGAAUAACAAUGAGAAAUCAUUGCUAAUACCGCAUAUGCCAUAGACACCACAUGGUGUCAGUGGGAAAGGAGCAAUUCGCUAGAAGAUGGCCUUGCGUCUGAUUAGAUAGUUGUGUGGUAACGGCAUACCAAGUCGACGAUCAGUAGCCGGACUGAGAGGUUGAACGGCCACAUUGGGACUGAGAUACGGCCCAGACUCCUACGGGAGGCAGCAGUCGGGAAUAUUGCGCAAUGGAGGAAACUCUGACGCAGUGACGCCGCGUAUAGGAGGAAGGUUUUCGGAUUGUAAACUAUUGUCGUUAGGGAAGAGAAAGGACAGUACCUAAGGAGGAAGCUCCGGCUAACUACGUGCCAGCAGCCGCGGUAAUACGUAGGGAGCGAGCGUUAUCCGGAAUUAUUGGGUGUAAAGGGUGCGUAGACGGGAGAGCAAGUUAGUUGUGAAAUCCCUCGGCUUAACUGAGGAACUGCAACUAAAACUACACUUCUUGAGUGCAGGAGAGGUAAGUGGAAUUCCUAGUGUAGCGGUGAAAUGCGUAGAUAUUAGGAGGAACACCAGUGGCGAAGGCGACUUACUGGACUGUAACUGACGUUGAGGCACGAAAGUGUGGGGAGCAAACAGGAUUAGAUACCCUGGUAGUCCACACCGUAAACGAUGGAUACUAGGUGUAGGGGAUAUUAAGUCUUCUGUGCCGUCGCAAACGCAAUAAGUAUCCCACCUGGGGAGUACGGCCGCAAG